AGUAAGCUUUCCUGUCUCUGGGGUACUACAUGUUAAAUGCAGACACACAAUUUUUUUCUGCUUCCAUAACUCUGUUUUCUCCAAAUUUGUUAUUUCUGUUUGGUCUAUCUUUCAUGUUAGAGGUUUUCUUCAAAUAUCUGGGGACACUUGGCUGCCCAUAAAUAUUUAGGAAUGAGUCACUAAAUAUCUGAUUAGAAACUUAUGGGCUUGUCAACUGGUGUACCUUCUUGGGUGAUCUGCUAUUUGGUGGGCCCUACUAUUUGGUCAUUAAACUCCUGACUGUUAGUGAUUUUCAGGUCUUUUCUCUUAAUCUGGUUAGAUUCCCUGGAGAAGAAUUACCCACCCACUUAUCCGGAGGGUCUGAUACAGGCUGUUAUCAGAUCAGAGAAAACAGAUCCAGUUUUAUGGAGAGAAAAGGUAACUGUGAAAUGGUCUUCAUAUUCCCCAUGAAGAAUAUACAGGUAUGUGGUAAAGAAGAGAUAAGAAUUUCCUCAGAUUUCAUUUGUAUGUAAGGUAGUUGUUUUAGCGAAGUGGCAUAGGAGAAGAUUAAUAUGAAUCAAUGAAGUGUUUCACUGAUGGAUUUUUUAAGUGAUUGAAAUAUUAGUGUUUUCCAUUUCAGAGAAUUGAACUCUUAAAUAUGCUAUUGGCAGAAGGAGACAAGUUUUAAUAAUUGGGUAAGGAUUAUUUUAAUAUGUAUGUGAAUUGCUGACAUGAUCAUCCAUCUUUCUCCAAUUCUUGAAAAUGGUUUGAUUUACUUAAUAUUCAAUUCUAAUUUGUUUAUAUCAUUAAUUUAUUUGGCAUAUUCAUUUUGCAUAAGGCAAACAGAUGGCUGGUGGUGGAGCAUAUACUCUGUCGCUCAAUCGUGUCCCACUCGUUGUGACCCCCAUGGACUGUGGCACACCAGGCUCUUCUGUCCAUGGGAUUUCCCUGGCGAGAAUCCUGGAGUGGGUUGCCAUUUUCUUCUCCAGAGGAUCUUCCUGACACAGGGAUUGUACCUGCAUCUCUUGUGUCUCCUGCAUUAGCAGGCCGGUUCUUUAUCACCAGUGCUACUGUGGAAGCCAGGUGGUGGAAGAGAUGGCUAUUUAUUUGCCAGAAAUGGGUACUGUCUCUUCUAAAGGAGACCUUGGAGAAGCAGGUCCUGUUUCCCAGCGGGAAUACCACCUAGAACCCACCCCGCCUCUUGCAGUUCAGCAUAGUCACGUGAUUGCAUCAUAGCCAAUGGAAUGAGAGUGGAAUGAACUCCUCCUCCUUUAAGGCUGCUCCUUAAAGUUCUCUCCUGAUUCAUUCCUUCUGCCCUUUUCUAUUUCUGGCUGUCUAGAUUGGAGGAGACCCCUGGGGUGACCUCAGAAGCCUUAGAAGCUGAUUUCCUGAUAGACUGGGUGAAGCAUCUCUGUUAGCCUGUACUUGGAACUCCUACAUUGAAUAUUAAUAGUGUAAAAUGAAAUUCUAAUUGUGUGAAGCCAUUCAAUUGUGGGAGUUAUUGCAGCAACUUACAAGAACCUGAAACAAUUCAGGGAAAAGGAAUUCUGAGAAUCGCAGUCCCAAAGAUGAGCUGACACACCUUGCAUGUAAGCGAAUUACCUUGUAUAAGUUGAAAACAAAAAUGAAAUAAAAAUGUAAACAAUCUCAUUUUCUCCCUGGAACAAAGACUUACUAUCUUUUGGUCAAUGCAAUGUUUUCAUCAGGCUUCUCAUCAUAGCUUCAGUGCCUGCAUUCAGAUAACAUCUCAGGAAGUCUCAUGUGGGUCACCUUUCCUCCAGACACACUGGAUAUCAUCUUAAUUGCCAAGGAUGUUAAGAGAAGAUAAUAAGAUAAUAGGGGAAGCAACAGCCAUUAGAUGUGGUAAUUGUUAGUCUGGGAUCUGGAAGCUUUAAGAAGGAUAUUGGGUAAUAAGGCCUCGGAGACUUGCAAGUUUCGCUUCAUCCAGUGACCUGAUGGGUGUGUUUACCAUGACGGUAAAGAUCUUAUGUUCAAAUUCAAACUCAGAGGAUUGGAAGACUAUUUAAGUUGUCAGGGCAGCCUGUUAGUAGGCCAAGGCUUCCUAUAAACCAUUAGUGAAAAGUGCAAGGAUACAAGUAACACAGGGCAAUACACAAAGAGAACUUUGUGUGGCGUGUACAAGAUGCGUAAUGCUUACAAACUGCCUGAGGCUUUGAAAGCAAUUUACUGAGAGAGAUUUUACAGUGGCCUCCUUUGGAGCCACUGAUAAUUAACCAAACAAAUAAUUCAAAGUAUGUCCAAUGGGUUUUAGCAAAUUUCCUUAAGAAUUUGCAAUACUGGAGAUUCCUAUUAUGAUUCUGCUGGAUCAGUGUCUUCGGUGGCAGCAUGUAAACACAUAGGACUUGAUUCAUGAUCGUGUGGGUAAUAACUUAAGAUCAAUAUUUUCAAUGAUGUAAUAGAAAAGUGCAAGGAAUCUCUGCCUUGUAAUAAACAGCAGUUGAGCUUUCUUUGUGGGCAGACACAGUCAUUAUAAAUUCUGCCAACUCUAUAGAUUUAUGCCUAUACAAAUAACUGGUGAAAGAGAGAACUUUUUUUCAUAAUAGCAAUGUAGUCUCAUCACUUAUUAAAUACUAUAGAUUUAUUCGUGUAUGACAGAUACCAAAAGCAUUAUUCUCACCAUUUAUCCUCACUUAUUCUCACCAUUUAUUCACAUUCACAUAUAUUCUCACCAUUUAUUUAGCAGCUGAUAUUUCUGUCUUUCAGGGGGUCUCGAUGUUUUUCUCCAUCUUGUUAUGGAGGCGUAAAGCUUGUCUUACUCAUGCUAAGUGAUGUCAUGGAAGUAGAUUGGGCUGUAGAGCCAGAAGAAUAUCUGCUUAAAGGAUUUGCUUCAUAUUAGUUUCUGCUUCUGUAUAACCAGGGAGGAGGGUGUUGUGAUCCCCCUCUCUCAGGAUGACCCCGAGUCACUGAACAUAGUAGAAAGUGAAGUGAGCUGUAAACAGCAAAAGACUAUGGAAAUAACAGUCAAUUUAUGAUUUGUAUCUCAGGUCUGUAGCACCUUAAACGUAUAGUUCAGUGUUAGUCACUCAGUCCUGUCCGACGUUUUGUGAUUCCAUGGACUGUAGCCCGCCAGGCUCCUCUGUCCAUGGGAUUUUCCAGGCAAGAAUACUGAAGUGAGUUGCCAUUACCUUCUCCAGGGGAUCUUCCUGACUCAGGGAUCAAACCCAGGUCUUCUACAUUGUAGGCGGGUUCUUAACCAUCUGAGCCACCAGGGAAGCUCAAGGGCUAGUGCCAAAGGAUGAUCACUCAUAUACAAGACCUAAAUUGUGAUGUCUCUUAUUUGUGAAAUGAUCUCUUUUACUUCCUUAGACAUACUCUUCCUGCUGCUCCUUGAAAGUACACAUAAUCUGAUCUUUCUUAUAGUCUGAUAUUAUUUUCCAUUUCAGUGAACUGGAAAGUAUGGGAAAUUGCAUCAUAUUUUUUUUCUAUCCUCUUCCUUAUUCUAACUGUUCAUGUACAGCAUAUGCUUCCAUUGUGGGUCACAUGUUAUCUAUUUCCAGAGCUGACUUGAAGAAUUGCGUUUGAAUAUGCAGUUGCCUUUUCAUUAGAAAUAACUAUCUUUCUCACUCCUUUUCUUCUUCUCACCUGUUCCAUUAGCCAUCGAGUCCCCCAUCCUCUGAUCUAUCAGCAGAUUUCUGGCAACACUAUUUAAAAAAAAAUCCUGCCUUGAUCAAUGUGUUUAUUGGUUUGCCAACAUUCUUAUCAAGCUAGUAUCAAGCCCUAAGUUAUUCAAAGUCCAUUUUCUUUGUUCCUCCUCCUGGGCUGUGGAGGUUGCUGGAGAAACUCAUGUCUCCUGUAUCCAGGUAUGCAUGCAUACUCAGUCAGUUCAGUUAUGUUCGACUCUUUGUAACCUCAUGGACUAGAGUCCGCCAGUUCCUCUGUUCAUGGAAUUUUCCCAACAAGAAUACUGGAGUGGAUUGCCAUGCCCUCCUCCAGGGGAUCUUCCUGACCCAGGGAUCGAACCUGAGUCUCCGGUGUCUCCUGGAUUGCAGGUGGAUUCUUUACUGCCAUGUAUGCUUGUAGUCGUACUGUCUGGACUUAGCCCAAGUUCACCCAACCACAGACAAAAUAAAUAGAGCAACCAAAUAACUCUGUUUCCAAAAUGCAUUCUCCUGAAGCAAGCCUCCACUAGCCAAAGGCUCUGCUCUCUUGCAUACUGCUCAGGCUCUGACCUAUGGCCUCUUCGUUCUACUUGUAUUUGCCCCGCUUCCAAUAUUGGCACAUAGGUUAAUUCUUGUUUCAUCUGUUGGCUUGAGUCUCAUCUCCAUGAGACUGUCAUGUUCAUACUAUUAUCAAAUCUGAAUACCCUGGUUGGGUCCCAGGACUAUGUUUUAUGAACUUUCCCCAUGAAUAGCCUCAGAAAAGUAGGUGUUUUUAGGAUUUGCUCUUUCCUCAGAAGAUCAGAGUUCAAUAGUGGUUUCCACCCCUAAUUGAACUCACGAUUCUCCUUGGCCAUACCUUUACUCUCCACUCUAGCCAACGUUUUUUUUCUGAAAAGAUACUGAAAAUCUUACCACUUUCCUCAAACUGUUUCACUCCAGUCCUUUUACUAUUUUUUUCUUUCCUUUAUUUAAAUUUAUUUAUUUUUAAUUGGAGGAUGAUUGCUUUAAAAUAUUGUGUUGUUCUCUGCCAUUCAUCGACAUGAUCAACCGUAGGCAUACAUAUGGCCCCUCCCUCUUGGGCCUCCCUCCCAUCUCCCACCCCAUUCCACCCCUCUAGGUGAUCACAGAGCACUGGAUUUGAGCUCCCUGUGUCAUACA